UACGUAGGUGGCAAGCGUUGUCCGGAAUUACUGGGCGUAAAGCGUGCGCAGGCGGUUCGUUAUGUCCGAUGUGAAAGCCCCGAGCUCAACUUGGGAAUGGCAUUGGAAACUGGCGGGCUGGAGUGUGGCAGAGGGGGGUGGAAUUCCACGUGUAGCAGUGAAAUGCGUAGAGAUGUGGAGGAACACCGAUGGCGAAGGCAGCCCCCUGGGCCAACACUGACGCUCAGGCACGAAAGCGUGGGGAGCAAACAGG
rnacentral:rRNA from 1 species